UACAGAGGUCUCAAGCGUUGUUCGGAUUCAUUGGGCGUAAAGGGCGCGUAGGCGGUUUGACAAGUCUGAUGUGAAAUCUAUGGGCUCAACCCAUAGCCUGCAUUAGAAACUGUCGGGCUUGAGUAUGGGAGAGGUGAGUGGAAUUUCCGGUGUAGCGGUGAAAUGCGUAGAUAUCGGAAGGAACACCUGUGGCGAAAGCGGCUCACUGGACCAUAACUGACGCUGAGGCGCGAAAGCUAGGGGAGCAAACAGG
rnacentral:rRNA from 1 species